rnacentral:rRNA from 1 species
CCUACGGGUGGUAGCAGUGAGGAAUAUUGGUCAAUGGACGGAAGUCUGAACCAGCCAUGCCGCGUGCAGGAUGACGGCUCUAUGAGUUGUAAACUGCUUUUGUAUUAGGGUAAACACCCCUACGUGUAGGGGCUUGAAAGUAUAAUACGAAUAAGGAUCGGCUAACUCCGUGCCAGCAGCCGCGGUAAUACGGAGGAUCCAAGCGUUAUCCGGAUUUAUUGGGUUUAAAGGGUGCUUAGGCGGUUUGAUAAGUUAGAGGUGAAAUGCCCCCGCUCAACGGGGUGAAGUGCCAUUGAUACUGCCUUGCUGGAAUGCGGAUGCCGUGGGAGGAAUGUGUGGUGUAGCGGUGAAAUGCAUAGAUAUCACACAGAACACCGAUUGCGAAGGCAUCUCACGAAUCCGCGAUUGACGCUGAUGCACGAAAGCGUGGGUAUCAAACAGGAUUAGAUACCCGGGUAGUC